rnacentral:rRNA from 1 species
UACGGAGGGUGCGAGCGUUGUCCGGAAUCACUGGGCGUAAAGGGCGCGUAGGCGGCCUGAUAAGUAGGGGGUGAAAUCCUGCGGCUUAACCGCAGAGCUGCCUUCUAAACUGUCAGGCUCGAGCACAGUAGAGGCAGGUGGAAUUCCCGGUGUAGCGGUGGAAUGCGUAGAGAUCGGGAGGAACAUCAGUGGCGAAGGCGGCCUGCUGGGCUGUUACUGACGCUGAGGCGCGACAGCGUGGGGAGCAAACAGG